rnacentral:misc_RNA from 1 species
AUGUAAGAGGCAGUUUGUUGGUUAAAAAAACCAAAUAAUUCAUUGUGCUACUUGUGGUAACAUUGUGUGGCGACCAGAAGAGACUUUUUGCAAGAGGUGAUGGUAGAGGUAAAAACUGAUCAGUGUUGAGUUUGAGUACAAAUGACGAGAUAUGCUUGAUGGAUGGUAGUGGUUCACUUUACGCAGACUCUGGUCUUUGGAAAAAAUAGUGUUUAGUCUAUGCACUAGAUGUUUAGACCUCAAGCUUUGUCAUUCGUAGAUAGCUUUCUCAUCUUCUGGGUCCUCCUCUAGGAUAGUUGAAUUAUUUCCAUUUGUAUACUUUCGUACACCCAGUUUAGAAACUAAAUUACCAGACUUGAAAAAUGUACAAUACCCUUUGUUCAUAAAUCAUGGCAGAAUAACUUUUCCUUACAGUGCAUGGUGUGGCCAAUGAGCUAGGAAAAAUCUUUUGUGAUCAAUAUAUGCUGUGUUAUGAGGGAGUAAACUAAGGACAUGCUUUAUAUGUUAGUGUCUAUCUAUAUGACAUUAAAAAGAAAAAAAAUCUAAUUGGAUGACAGUUGAGUUUAAUUUGCAAUCUGUUUAGUAAAUGUUGGCAAAGAAACGAGCAAAGUAUCAAGUAAAGAAAAAGGAAAUAAUAAUUUUAUUUUAAGUGGGUCCUGAGAAUAGAAAUUGGUGUAAAUUGAGGGACUUCCUGGUUGACUAAAUGUAAUCAAUCAACAGUGAUAAGCAGACAUAAACUUACUUCUACAGGCAUUCUUGUUAUUGAAUCUUUGACUAAACGGGAACCAUGUUAACAAUCACUGAUCAAGCAGGGAGUUGCUUGUCCUUUCAGUGCCCAUGUUUCUUUCUUUCUUUCUUCUUUUUCCUAAAAAAAAGUUUCUAUCAUUAUUUUUUGGCAAUAAAAACCUCAAAAGCUGCGAUCAUGUUGACUUGUGAUUUUUUGAAAAAAGUGUUCUAAGGAGAUUGAAAAAUAGAGUUUGAUA